UGGGGCGUUGGCAAGCGGUUAAGCCACCGGUUUUUGGAGCCGGUAUUCGCAGGUUCGAAUCCUGCCGCCCCAG
rfam:Sediminispirochaeta smaragdinae DSM 11293 chromosome, complete genome.